UAGGGAAUCUUCCACAAUGGACGCAAGUCUGAUGGAGCAACGCCGCGUGAGUGAAGAAGGUUUUCGGAUCGUAAAGCUCUGUUGUUGGUGAAGAAGGAUAGAGGCAGCAACUGGUCUUUAUUUGACGGUAAUCAACCAGAAAGUCACGGCUAACUACGUGCCAGCAGCCGCGGUAAUACGUAGGUGGCAAGCGUUGUCCGGAUUUAUUGGGCGUAAAGCGAGCGCAGGCGGAAUGAUAAGUCUGAUGUGAAAGCCCACGGCUCAACCGUGGAACUGCAUCGGAAACUGUCAUUCUUGAGUGCAGAAGAGGAGAGUGGAAUUCCAUGUGUAGCGGUGGAAUGCGUAGAUAUAUGGAAGAACACCAGUGGCGAAGGCGGCUCUCUGGUCUGCAACUGACGCUGAGGCUCGAAAGCAUGGGUAGCGAACAGG
rnacentral:rRNA from 1 species